UACAGAGGGUGCGAGCGUUAAUCGGAAUUACUGGGCGUAAAGAGCUCGUAGGUGGUUUGUCGCGUUGUUCGUGAAAACUCACAGCUCAACUGUGGGCGUGCGGGCGAUACGGGCAGACUAGAGUACUGCAGGGGAGACUGGAAUUCCUGGUGUAGCGGUGGAAUGCGCAGAUAUCAGGAGGAACACCGGUGGCGAAGGCGGGUCUCUGGGCAGUAACUGACGCUGAGGAGCGAAAGCGUGGGGAGCGAACAGG
rnacentral:rRNA from 1 species